UUGGUCCCUCCUAUCUUGAUGAAUGCCUUACAUGUGAACCAAAUCCUUAGAAAAUAACCUCAAAUAUCAAAGAAAAAAUGCUUUCAAUUGAGCCAGUUAUGUCUGUGCUAAUGAAAUUGAGGUGGGAGGAAGAACUGGGUGUGACUAUCACUGAUUUGAAAUGGGAUGAAUGAUUAAAGCCUACAGGCAAUCUUGCCUGCUGGUGAUGAACAUGCCAGCUUGUGAUGAAGUGCCUGCCAGUGAUUGGUUAAGUUUAUCCAGGUGAAUGUAGUAUUUGGAUUGCAGUGUAGAGGAGCCACCAACCUGCGAUUGGCUGGCAACCGGUUCAGGGGGUUCCCCCGCCUACUGCCCGAUGACUGCUAGGAUAGGCUCCAGCACGCCCGCAACCCCCGUGGGGACAAGCGGUAAGGAAAAUGGAUGGAUAGAUGGAGGAGCCACCAACAUCAUGGAUGUGCACCAUAAAGGGGGCGGCCAUUUUGCCUCAUGCUGUCGACUGAAAAUGACAUCACAGUUGCAUGGACUGACUUGAGAAUGGAGGUCACAAUGCAGAAAGGUGUGAACAGGCUUUCCAUCCAAGAGGACGUGACCCUCCUGAGGAGCAUAGAAGUUUUCCAAUAGGUUGACACAGGAGCUCUUUCCACUGCCAGAAGGUCCCACCAGGGCAGUCACCUCGCCCGGCUUUAGAGUGAAUGACACUCCCUGCAUCAGACCAAUUAUUAUCAAAACAACUUGAGUUAUUACGCUGUAGUAUACACAAUGUGCUAUAUACAGUGCAUAUAGUCAUAGAAAUUACCUUAAGGAUUUCGAUCUCUGGCCGAGUAGGGUAGGCAAAUUUGAUAUCUUGAAAAUCCACCAGACCAGUGAAUGUCUCCAACGUCUCUGUGCCAUCUGCUGGGUGAUCGGGUUUUCUGUCCAAGUAGUCGAAAACCUUUUCAGCGGCCCCUACGCCCUGCAUGAGGCCCGAGUAAACUGACGCAAUGUUCUGCAAGAUGACAGAUAGCAACAGAUUAUGAACCUUGUCAUUGAUUAACUGCAGAAUAGGAGAAAAAUGAAUUUAGAUUAAUUACCGACAAACAUUCCCCCAUUUCAAGCGUGUAUAUGAAAAAUGAUAACAAUUGGCUGCUUUCCAUCUGACCAGUAACCACAAGGUGGCCACCAUAGGCGAGGAUGGUCACCUCUAGAGUGAGCUCUGAGAUCUACAAAACAGAAAGACUUGAUAAAUACCCACUCUGUCAUCAUUACCAAGGAAAUCAACGAAAUCUAAUACCUACACAGCUGGACCACAUAUAGCAAGCAUAUGCCAGGGCUUGUUUCUUGUUGAGAUGGUACAUGACAACGAGCUUGCUGUAGUAGGAGUCAGCCUCUCGAUGCUCGUUAGCGAAGCUUCGCACUGUCUUCAUGGCGGAAAUGGUUUCUUCUGCAACUUUGUUAGCCUUUGCAAGUGUUGUCUGUACCUCUUUAGUUAGGCUCUGGAAAGAAUACAGCGUAAUUUGAUCCAAAUAAAAUAAAAUAAAAUAUAUAUAAUAUUAAUUAAAAAACUGUUAGAUUACCUUGUAGUAAUUCCCAUAAUACUCUGAAAGAACGGCAAUAAAAGGAAGUCCCAUCAUGUUCACUAAUGUUAGCUUCCAGGACAUCCCAAACAUAAAAAUGAGAAAGCCAACAGCUUUGAUGGCGCUCCUCAAGAACACAUUAAUGUUCUGGGAGAUGAGGUCACUCACUUGGGUGGUGUCAGCUGACAGACGUGAAGUGAUAUCACCUGAAAAGUGAUAAA